rnacentral:rRNA from 1 species
AUGACGCUGAGGUCCCACCCGUUCCCAUCCCGAACACGGAAGUUAAGCUCAGCGGUGCCGAAAAUACUUGGAGGGAGACUUCCCGGGAAGAU